ensembl:lncRNA
GAGCCUCCGCUGUUUAUGUCUUCUAAGGAGACAACAGCAAGUCUCCAAGAUAUUUUGGAUUCAGACAAGACUUUUGUAUAAUGACUUUUAUCCCUAGAAUAAAAGUUUUAGAUAAUGAACAACAUAUAUUUGGUGAAUAAAAUAUGUUUGAUUAAGAUUCAUGAGCUCCUAAGGUUAUAAUGGUCUACUCAGAUUACAGAAACGGACUGAGAGACACAUGUUUAACCCCGUUGCUAGCUGUGCUCAACACCAGGCCUCUAAAAUUUUUUAGAUAAAGAAUGACAUAUGUUUGAUGGAUAUGUUUUUUUUUUAUAGAUAAUGUUUUUAUACACAAGGUUUUAUAGAUAAGGUUUAAUUCCUAAGGACUAUUGAGGCUAACAGAGGCGCAAUUGAAGGUAUGUGUCUUGUCCUUUGUCUUUCAUAGCUUUAUUAAGCUUUAGCAAUUUGGAUAUACUUAACUGCAACAUUCUGUAGAGUUACAUGAGGAUCAGGAAAGCAAGGAUCCCAGUCUCUCUGUGGAAUAGAUCUGUGGUUUAGAGUUAUGUUUUAUGCUGAAGGAUCCUCAAUUAAAAUUUCUACUCAAAAUUUUGAGGCUCAGACGUAACAGGGAUAAAACUAAAUGAAAUCCUAAUUUUAUAAAACCUACUGACUUGUAAAAUGUUAAACAUAAUUAAGACAAGCAAGUUAAUGGUCUUAUAAGUAAUCGAAUUCUUUCACAUGCUCAGAAUCAUGCUUGUAGUUAUCCUAAGUACAAAUGUAAUUCAUUUACAGAGACAAGCUUUAGUCUUCUGUAUAUGCUAUCAUAUAUGCUACCAAGGUUCCUGAAGAAUGUAACUAAAAACAAAAAAAGUUUGUUUGGAAUCAGAUAUACAGAGCAGAUUAGAUGAUGACCUUCAAACCUCUCAGUGAUAUGCUAAGUGUGGCCUUUGACAGCAGCAGCUAAAGCUAUCUCCAGAGAAGACUCCACCUGGAAAUGCUAGCACUGAACAAAGAGCUGCCCCAUACCUUGUCUGCCACCAGGGCUUUCCCCAAAACUAUGGACACUUUUGAGUUAACUGACCUACUCUGCCUUAUCAAACUAGGUCAGUUUUCCUGAGUCCCUCCACCACAGAAAAAUCUCUCAGACCUUUUGGGUCUGGCAGCUGAAGAGUUAAUGCUGCCCUGUAUGUCAGCCAAAGACUUAAAUGCUGCCCCAAGUGAAGCCAAAGACUGAAGAUCUCUACCCCAGCGAGGCCAUAGAGAUUGCCGUAGAAGAGCCAGGAUCGCUGUCCAGACAGAGUGAAUUCUUAUACAGAGAGGAGUGAAAGACCCCCAGAGAGGACCAUUCCCUCAGGAGGAG